UCGCGUGCUCUGGGGUCGGUGAAAAUCCGAGCCGGCGGUGAAUGAUCCGAAGCGUCCUCGCUUCGCUCACAAGUCCGCGACCCGAUCACAUCCAGUGAUCGGUUGACCAGGUGGAACUCCUGGACCGACGGUCAAAGUCCGGAUGGGAAGUGCACGCAA
rnacentral:ncRNA from 2 species